rnacentral:lncRNA from 1 species
AUGUAGUAGUUCGUCCACGCCAUCGCCUCCGCCCUCUGGUGGAGGGAGCGCUCCUGUCGAGCUGCUCCGGGUUGUCGAGGGCUGACUUGGUCUUGGUGAUGCACGCUAGCCUGUGCGUCGGUCGUUCCGCCGUUCUCCUCACGUCCCUGGUGGUUAUCGGAGUGGUGUGCCACGGGGCCGGUCGCUGGGGUCUGGAGAAGGUGGAGGGCAGCGCGAAGCGCGUCUCUCUCGGCCCCGCCUAGAGCGGGUAGGGCCCCGAAGCUUGCAAGCCAAGGGUUCGGCACCCGGUGCGACCCCCGGUGCCCGAUGCUUGUGGCCUUGAGGAUGCACCAGGCUGGAUGGUCUUGUGGGCGAUUGCGAUCAGCUCGAUGAUGUGGUCCGCACAGGCAUCGAAGC